AAAAAAUGAACCCCUUUGCCGAGCAAGAAGCUUGGGAGGAUCAUCAAAUUGGAAAAGCAACAUUAAAUUUUGGUGCAAAGAACAAGGAAGCCUCUGAUGAUUAUCAGUUUGUAUUCGAGGAUCACAUAGACUUCAUAAAGGCAUCUGUGUUGGCUGGUGAAA